CUAUUUUAGUGACACCCCUCAUCUUGUAAAGCCUGUGAGAAAUAAUCUAGCUUCUUCAGGAUGGGAGAAAAACACCAAACAUCUAUGGACAUUAAACAUGAUGGUGGUCCUGGGCCCUGGUAGUAACCUAGUGCUGUAUACAGGCACCACACAAGUGAACAGUAUCCAUGUUCCAGGCAUUCUUUUGGCCACGCCUUCCACCUCCUUGUCCUAUCCCCCUGUACCAGACAGUCCAUAGACCUCCCAGUGACAUGGACAUGGGAUUUGAGGAGGAGUUGAGCCCAGACCUCCAGGUUGACUAUGACUCGUAUAGUUGGAAGAAGCUUGAUUCAUACAGCGAAGAGACCAAGAAAAUGGUCAAGGAAUAUUUUGAAUGUGAAGGGGAGUUCGGUGGCAAGAAAGUUUGUGAUUACAAGAUCUUUAAGUAAAUUAUCUGACACUGUGAACUGUGACUGGAAGAUAAUGAUUUGACACACUUUUUUGCAUAAGAAGGCAUGAACGGUUGAUUUGUUAUGUACCAACUGAACAAAAACUUGGUGUCUGUGUGUUGGAGAAGUAAGAUGGGCAUAAAAAAUGAAAUAUGCAAUAAAUUAUGAAGGCAAGCUAUGUGCUUGAGACAUCUGCAUUACUUAUUUGUGAAUUUCCUCGUACAGCAAGUGAUUAAAGGCUUAAAGGACAAAGUGGUGCAGAAUAUUCUAUGAAUCCCAUUCUGAGUGGGUUUACCUGUUGUGCAGCCAAGCAGGUCAUAGUGGUAAAUUUUAUCUUCUAAUAUUUUGCAAAUCGAGGCCAUUUCUAUGGCAAGUUCUAUCAAGGGCCUUGAGUUCGAUCUCGCAAUUUCCACUGUUUGCUUAAUCUUGUCAUAACCACCGUACAAAAAAUAAUUUUAAAAAUAUGUAAAUAAAAUCAAAUAAAAAUAGUCACUGAAAGUAUUUUUAAUAGAGAUAAAAAAGAGAAGACCAAUUCCAGUUGAAUUAAAUGAA